rnacentral:rRNA from 1 species
GAUGAACGCUGGCGGCGUGCCUAAUACAUGCAAGUCGAGCGAACGGACGAGAAGCUUGCUUCUCUGAUGUUAGCGGCGGACGGGUGAGUAACACGUGGAUAACCUACCUAUAAGACUGGGAUAACUUCGGGAAACCGGAGCUAAUCCCGGAUAAUAUUUUGAACCGCAUGGUUCAAAAGUGAAAGACGGUCUUGCUGUCACUUAUAGAUGGAUCCGCGCUGCAUUAGCUAGUUGGUAAGGUAACGGCUUACCAAGGCAACGAUGCAUAGCCGACCUGAGAGAGUGAUCGGCCGCACUGGAACUGAGACACGGUCCAGACUCCUACGAGAGGCAGCAGUAGGGAAUCUUCCGCAAUGGGCGAAAGCCUGACGGAGCAACGCCGCGUGAGUGAUGAAAGUCUUCGGAUCGUAAAACUCUGUUAUUAGGGAAGAACAUAUGUGUAAGUAACUGUGCACAUCUUGACGGUACCUAAUCAGAAAGCCACGGCUAACUACGUG